AGCUGGUUCUCUCCGAAAACUAUUUAGGUAGUGCCUCGUGUAUCACCUUCGGGGGUAGAGCACUGUCAUGGUUGUGGGGUCCAUUGCGGAUUACUACGCCAUAGCAAACUCCGAAUACCGAAGAGUGCAAUCACGGGAGACAGACAUCGGGUGCUAACGUCCGGUGUCAAGAGGGAAACAACCCAGACCGCCAGCUAAGGUCCCCAAAUAUUGCUAAGUGGGAAACGAAGUGGGAAGGCUAAAACAGUCAGGAGGUUGGCUUAGAAGCAGCCAUCCUUUAAAGAAAGCGUAAUAGCUCACUGAUCGAGUCGUCCUGCGCGGAAGAUGUAACGGGGCUAAGCCAGUCACCGAAGCUGCGGAUCA
rnacentral:rRNA from 1 species